rnacentral:rRNA from 1 species
AAAUUGAAGAGUUUGAUCAUGGCUCAGAUUGAACGCUGGCGGCAGGCCUAACACAUGCAAGUCGAGCGGUAGCACGGGGGAGCUUGCUCCCUGGGUGACGAGCGGCGGACGGGUGAGUAAUGUCUGGGAAACUGCCUGAUGGAGGGGGAUAACUACUGGAAACGGUAGCUAAUACCGCAUAACCUCGCAAGAGCAAAGAGGGGGACCUUCGGGCCUCUCGCCAUCAGAUGUGCCCAGAUGGGAUUAGCUAGUAGGUGAGGUAAUGGCUCACCUAGGCGACGAUCCCUAGCUGGUCUGAGAGGAUGACCAGCCACACUGGAACUGAGACACGGUCCAGACUCCUACGGGAGGCAGCAGUGGGGAAUAUUGCACAAUGGGCGCAAGCCUGAUGCAGCCAUGCCGCGUGUGUGAAGAAGGCCUUCGGGUUGUAAAGCACUUUCAGCGGGGAGGAAGGCAGUAAGGUUAAUAACCUUGCUGAUUGACGUUACCCGCAGAAGAAGCACCGGCUAACUCCGUGCCAGCAGCCGCGGUAAUACGGAGGGUGCAAGCGUUAAUCGGAAUGACUGGGCGUAAAGCGCACGCAGGCGGUCUGUUAAGUUGGAUGUGAAAUCCCCGGGCUUAACCUGGGAACUGCAUUCAAAACUGACAGGCUAGAGUCUUGUAGAGGGGGGUAGAAUUCCAGGUGUAGCGGUGAAAUGCGUAGAGAUCUGGAGGAAUACCGGUGGCGAAGGCGGCCCCCUGGACAAAGACUGACGCUCAGGUGCGAAAGCGUGGGGAGCAAACAGGAUUAGAUACCCUGGUAGUCCACGCUGUAAACGAUGUCGAUUUGGAGGUUGUGCCCUUGAGGCGUGGCUUCCGGAGCUAACGCGUUAAAUCGACCGCCUGGGGAGUACGGCCGCAAGGUUAAAACUCAAAUGAAUUGACGGGGGCCCGCACAAGCGGUGGAGCAUGUGGUUUAAUUCGAUGCAACGCGAAGAACCUUACCUACUCUUGACAUCCAGAGAACUUAGCAGAGAUGCUUUGGUGCCUUCGGGAACUCUGAGACAGGUGCUGCAUGGCUGUCGUCAGCUCGUGUUGUGAAAUGUUGGGUUAAGUCCCGCAACGAGCGCAACCCUUAUCCUUUGUUGCCAGCGAUUCGGUCGGGAACUCAAAGGAGACUGCCGGUGAUAAACCGGAGGAAGGUGGGGAUGACGUCAAGUCAUCAUGGCCCUUACGAGUAGGGCUACACACGUGCUACAAUGGCGUAUACAAAGAGAAGCGACCUCGCGAGAGCAAGCGGACCUCAUAAAGUACGUCGUAGUCCGGAUUGGAGUCUGCAACUCGACUCCAUGAAGUCGGAAUCGCUAGUAAUCGUAGAUCAGAAUGCUACGGUGAAUACGUUCCCGGGCCUUGUACACACCGCCCGUCACACCAUGGGAGUGGGUUGCAAAAGAAGUAGGUAGCUUAACCUUCGGGAGGGCGCUUACCACUUUGUGAUUCAUGACUGGGGUGAAGUCGUAACAAGGUAACCGUAGGGGAACCUGCGGUUGGAUCACCUCCUUA